UACGUAGGGCGCAAGCGUUAUCCGGAAUUAUUGGGCGUAAAGAGCUCGUAGGCGGUUUGUCGCGUCUGCUGUGAAAGACCGGGGCUCAACUCCGGUUCUGCAGUGGGUACGGGCAGACUAGAGUGCAGUAGGGGGAGACUGGAAUUCCUGGUGUAGCGGUGGAAUGCGCAGAUAUCAGGAGGAACACCGAUGGCGAAGGCAGGUCUCUGGGCCACUACUGACGCUGAGAAGCGAAAGCAUGGGGAGCGAACAGG
rnacentral:rRNA from 1 species